AUACGUCCUAGUUAAUAGACAUCAAUAGAGAAAUUCAUUUCCUCACAGUUUAUGACCUUUUAUUUUCUUUCGAACAUAUAACAGGAGAUAUUGAUUAAUCGAUUUAAAGCGUAAUAACCCUUUGCAGAGGGCGUAUUCUUUGACGCUAUGCUAACGAACGAUAGCGAAGAGCGGGGGAAAAAUACCGUCUAUCAGAGCAGGCCGAUAAAGCUUUACGUCAUUCCUUCGGUGGUGGUCGAACUGAUAAUAUGUGAGCAAGUGUCGUACAAUAAAUAUUCGUCUUGCGUAUACUUUAUACGUUCCAGAGGGUAGUUUUACAAGCGGUUCAGGCGGUGGAAACAAUUUCUUCGUUCUCACUAGUCUUUUGUUUAUGUUAUCAAUAUAAGAUAGAAUAGAGAAAACGAAGGUGCAGUUCCAAUAGUCGAAGUAUUGCAAAGGAGUCCAAUGGACUUACAUUUGAAUUUAAUUCCAAAGAAGAUACACGAAAUUCAACUACGCUCAACGUCGUAAUGAAAUAUUCCACAUCCCAAGUGAAACAUAUUUACAUCGGUAUUUCCUGCUCUUCCGAACAUGAGUUCUACAUCGAUAGUACAAGUGCUCUGUUUACCGAAAGAUUUUAUGAAGUCGACGAAAGUAUUUCCAUUUCAAAAUGAAUCCAUUUCAAAUAAUCCAUAUGAUAUACACCAAAUUGGCGAGAAAAGCAUCUAAUUAUCCGGGGUAUGGAAACACCGUGACGCCAAUGCUAACGCAAUACUAUAGCAACGAUCAACUUGAAUAUUGGAUUUUAAUAAACGAGCGCAUUGGAUUGUGAAAGCGGAAGAGUGAUUCAAGAAGGAAUUCGAGAACGAAGAAAACGAACGCGAAGAAAGAACACUGUUAGCUAAAUACCGAAGAUGUCGUGUGAGAACGAUGAAAUUGUUUCUCCCGUUUUAAUUGCUUAUAAAAGUAUUCUUUCGGACUUAUGAGGUAUAUGCACUGGCGACUAUUUCCCGUGUGGCACUCACUUGCGUAUUACUGGUUCGAAAACCACCGAAGGAAUGACGUUCCCUGGCGAAAUUAAUAUCAUGUCGUCCCCUUAUAUAACCAUGCUUCCUAGCUAGGGGAUGACAAAUUUCCCCUCUCCUGUAGUUAUGUAGUUAUAUACUCAUGUCCUCUAUGUACGUGAAAAAUUAUUUCAAAUCUUGUAACCUUCUAAUGAAAUUGACCAUAAUUCGUCCCAUUCUUAAUUCAAAUAAACAAGUAAAACACUAUUUUUUUUUAAUUUAAAUUAUAUAAAUAAUUAUGUAUUGGGUAUAUAAUUAUAGCUAUAUAACUGCAUAUUCUUUUAUUAUAAUAUAAUUAAUUAUUUUAAGAAAAUUUUUUGUAAAAAUAAUUACAAUAGUUAUGAUUAUUGUAAUUAUCGAAAGUAAUUGCUAUGAAAUUAAUCAUAAUUUCAUAAACGAAAUUUGUCUUGUUUCUUCUUUCGUAAGUUAUGCUUAUUGUAAGUAAUGCUUAUUGUAAAAUCUUCUGUCAUAUGCCGAGAAAAUCCUUCGGCAUAUUCCUUUGUUUACUGAUAUUAUAUUUUCAGAAAAAUCCCAGAAAUAAUAAGUGAUAAAAUCAAAAGUGUUAUAUUGUUUUGGUGUAUACUGUUUCGUGAUGUCGAAAUAUACAAUUUGAGCCUUCAA